AUGGCGGCUUCUUUCCCGCUCCCAGUGACCCAGGACCUGUUCGCGCUGCGUGCCAAGUUGCAGGAGCUGCUGCAGUUCCUGAGGAAAGCCCUGUCCAUUUCCAAUGCACAUACGGUGGACUUCUACACGGAGUCCGUGUGGGAGCAACUGGUCGACUUGCCCCCGGAGACCGUGCUGGGGGUACUGAGGAAGUCAGUGGCAGAGGCUGAGGCCCGACCCUUGGAGGCGCGCCUCCUGGCGGAAGCCGAGAAGCAAUCAGGUAUUACUAAUUUUCCCAAAAUAUUCUGUGAAACUUCCCAGAAGCUGGUGAGUGUGGAAGCCUUUGCUCUGGCUGUGAGAUAUUAUUCUGUACAAAACUUGGGAAUAUGUACUCCUUUUGAGCAGUUACGUACAGCCCUUCAAGGAAGUAAAAAACAGAGAACUGGUGAAAAUGUGAAACCAGAUGAAUUUAUGAAUUUGAAAAAAUCUCAUGAAGUUCAGGCCAUGUCAGAGCUGAUCAGCAGUAUUGCUGAUUACUAUGGGAUAAAGCAGGUAAUUGACCUGGGUUCUGGAAAAGGCUACCUAAGCUCUUUUUUGUCCUUGAAGUAUGGCUUAAAAGUUUAUGGAAUUGAUUCAUCAAAUACCAAUACUCAUGGAGCUGAGGAGAGAAACAGGAAAUUGAAGAAACAUUGGAAAGUCUACCAUACUCGGUCAAAAUUAGAUGCCAAUGGACUGGCAUUAAAAAUGACAAAAGAAAGGAAAGUGCAAGAUGAAAUUAAGUAUAAAGUAGAUAUUGAAGGAAUAUGUAACAGCAGUCCUGCGAAUCAAGAAAAGAUGUCUACAUCGGAUUUUUUGCCAGAUUUUUCAAAUUCUGUGAUUUCUAACAUUAGAACACAAAUGGAAAACCUACAUGUAUAUUCACAUCAAGAAGAAAACUUGUGUUUUGAAAAUGCCUUUUCUCUUAUAGACCUUUUGCCUACUAAUGCCAUAGAACCUGCUUUAUUCCAGACACCUAAGACAAAAAUGUCUGAAACAAAUAAAGAGAGAAGAAAACAUAUAUCAAAGUCAAGUGAAUUAAAUAUAUAUUCACCUUUAACAUCUGUUAUCACUGCUGAUUCACAACUACAGGAUAUUAUUAAAGAUCUGGAGGAUUGUUUGAUGGUAGGUCUGCAUACUUGUGGUGAUCUUGCUCCAAACACUCUUCGAAUAUUUACUGCCAAAUCUGAAAUCAAGGGAGUUUGCAGUGUGGGCUGUUGCUACCACCUCUUAUCUGAAGAGUUUGAAAACCCACAUAAAGAAAGUACCCAAGAAAAGUGGGGAUUUCCAAUGUGCCAGUAUUUAAAGGAAGAGAGAUGGUGCUGUGGUCGUAAUGCCAGAAUGUCAGCAUGUUUGGCAUUGGAACGAGUUGCAGUUGGCCAAGGGCUGCCUACUGAAUCUCUCUUCUUUCGAGCCGUCCUUCAGGAUAUUAUUAAAGAAUGCUAUGGCAUCACCAAAUGUGAUCGGCACGUUGGUAAAAUUUAUUCCAAAUCCUCUUCCUUUCCGGACUAUGUGAGAAAGUCUCUAAAGAAGCUUGGAUUAGAUGAGUCCAAGCUGCCAGAAAAAGUUAUAAUGGACUACUACGAGAAGUAUAAGCCUAGAAUGAAUGAGCUGGAAGCUUUUAAUAUGUUGAAAGUUGUUCUGGCUCCUUGUAUAGAGGCAUUGAUUCUUCUAGAUCGACUUUGCUACCUAAAAGAACAGGAAGAUAUUGCAUGGGUUGCACUUGUGAAGUUGUUUGAUCCUGUGAAAUCUCCCAGAUGUUAUGCUAUUAUUGCCCUGAAGAAGCAGCAAUGAUUUCAGUUGAAGCAAGUUUCCUCUUGAGAAAAGCAAGAUAUUGGUGGAUGCAUAAUCCUCUAGACCUCAAGCAGUUGAUGAUUUCUUGGCUGUCCUGCCUCUAAAUGGAUCACCAGCGUCAUUUAUCCUGACCUCCUUCCCACCGUCUCCUUUAAAGAGAUCCUUUCUUUUUCUACAGAGGGGCGGAAAACCUGUCAUUUUUACUGUUUGUCCUAUGCCUAGCAGUGAACAUGUUCAGAACAUGCUGUGGAGAAAAGGGAGGAAAUGAAUACACUGAUCCUCCAUGGGAAAAAACUAGCCCCUUCCUCUGAGAGAAAAGAAUAAUGCCAGGUGUCCUCAUGUGUGUCAGUGCCUGUGGGAGGCAUUUGCUGAUAUUCUGCCCACACCUCCGCCACCACCCAAGUGAAGAGGAGGAACAUCAUCUAGCUCAUUCCCACGUGCACUUAUUAGGGCACAGAGACUGUAAAUUGCAUGCCUACUUCCUCAUCUGCCUAGUGGAACCUAAGUUCCUCAAGGCAGGAACCAUGUGAUACACCUUUGAAUCUCCAGAUUUGGACCUACAACAUUAUCUAAUCUCACAAGUUUAAUAAAGGUUUAUUGAACCUUUCUUAAUAAGAUGAAAUACCAUAUAUUAUGGCAGCUCCUGGGUGGCUCAGUUAAAGCCUCUGCCUUCAGCUCAGGUCAUGAUCCCAGGGUCCUGGGAUAGAGCCCCGAAUCGGGUUCUCUGCUCAGUGGGAAGUCUGCCCCCCACCCAUCCUCUGCCUGCCUCUCUGCCUACUUGUGAUCUCUCCUCCCUCUGUCAAAUAAAUAAAUAAAUAAAUAGAAAUACAAUAUAUUGUGAUUAUAGAUAGUAUAAGAUGAAAUAAGGCAGAGCUGGUAGUAAUGCAAUAUUCUAAACUGUAGUAGUAAAGACCCUUGUAAUGGAAGACAGCCUAAGUAGUAGGUCUGUGAAAUGGGAAUACAGAGGGCCAAUCGGAACCAUUUCUGUGCCACAGACCCCUUUGGCUGUCUAGAAGUGACUUUGGGCCUCUUCUCAAACAUUUUCUUUUGAAAAUACAUAAUAUGACAUAAUAUGACAAAGGAAACCAAUCAUAUUGAGAUUAUUACUAAAAGAAUUUUUUUAAGUUAUGAUUUAAUAGUACGUGUGUGUUUAUUAACUCAUUGAAUAGAAAGAUCACAUAGCAGUUCUAAAAUUCUAAUUUUUAAGUGACCAUAAAUGUCAAUAAUAUUUGAAGAUAUCAGCCAUAACUGUAAUGUGACAUGGAAAUAUCUGUACCUUCUAUUGGCAACAGUUGCAAGUACUACCAGUACUACUGAGGUUUGUUGUCCACAUUUAUAACUGACGGAAAGCCUAAAUUACGAUUAGCAGUUAGUGAGAAUAAAGAACAUUUUCUCCAAGAUCCAAGAUCACAGGUGCCCUGAAUUCUAUCUGUGGAUCGCCUGGGCUUAGCAAACCCCCUGUCUGUGGAACACAGGGAUGUAGAACACCUGGAGUAACUAUCAGCUCUUUCAUCUUCGGAGGAAUGGCAUCUUCUCAAAUCAGUGCAGGCCUCUACCCAUACUCUAUAGUGAACGACUGUUUCAGAGGUACUUGGGUUCCGGAAGGAUAUCAAUAUUCACUUUAUUUAUAUAAAAUAUAACAAUUUACAAGGCUUACUAGAAAACUCUGGUAAUGACAGCAGGGUGACAUUUGUUUAAACAUAGUUUUAUAGAUGAAUGGCACAUCUAGGGAGCUCAGAAAUCAGUGCAUACCUGUUCAGUCAGUUGACUUUUGACAAAGCUGCCAAAGCAAUUCAGUGGGUUUAAAUACUUUUGUCAGCAAGUGUUGCAAACAACUGCAUAUCAGAAUUAAAAAAUUAAAAAAAAAAAAAAGCUUAACCCUUACCACAUAUCGCAUACAAGUUACUUGAAAUGGAUCUUUGAGCUGAAUGUAAAAAAAAAAAAAAACUACUAGAAGAAAACCUAGGAAAAAAUAUUUGUGACCUUUGGUUAAGGAAAGAUUUCUUAAGCACCAAAAGCAUGAACCAUAAGUGAAGAUAUCACAAAUAGGACUUAACAAAUUUAAAAUGUCUGACCUUCAAAAGACAUUGUUAACAGUCCACAGAUUGGUGAAAGAAAAAAAAAUUAGCAAAGCUCCUACCUGAUAAAGAGCUUGUUUGCAGAAUACAUAAAUCAACAAAAAAUUCAGUAAAAAGAAAGACAAAAGAUUUGAACAAAUAUUUCACAAAGGAAGAUAUACAAAUGGCAAUGAACAUAUGCAAAAGUAUUCAUCUUUAAUCAUUUUUAAUGAUUUUUUCAAUGAUUCAUUUUUACUCAUUAAAAGCACAAGGAGACAGGGAAAUACCACUAUACCACCUUUCAAAUGACAAAAAUUAAAAGGAUUGAUAAUAUUGCUAGACCCCCACAUAAAACAAUGAGAGCUGUGAAGAUUGCUCAUGGAAAUGCAAAUACUACACUUAUUUUGGAAAACAGUUUAGCAGAUAUUUAUAAGGUUAAACAUGUACUUAUCAUAUGACCCAACAAUUCCACUCCUAGAUAUUUACCCAAGAGAAAUGGAACCUAUGUCCACACAGCAGAUGUUAAUAGUUGCUUUAUUCUUGUAGCUGCAAGUCUAUCACCAGCAAAAUGGGUAAAAUUAUUGUGAUAUAUUCAUACAGUGGAAUAUUUCUCAGCAACAAGCAAUGAACUACAUGCACGUGCAACAACAUGGAUGGAUUUCAAAAGCAUUACACCAAGUGGCUAAGUGAAAUAAGACAGACACAACAGAUUACAUUCUGUAUGGUUCCAUUUAUAUGACAUUCUAGAAAAGAGACAGAAAACAGAUCCAUCACUGGUUGCCAGUGGGCUGUGGGUAAAGGAAGGGAUCAUCUACAAAAGGGUAUAAGGGAACAUUUUGGGGUGAUGAAAAUGUCCCAUAUGUUAAUUUGGGUAGCGAAUGCAUGAUUUGUAUGUUUGUCAAAUUAAUUAAACAGUACACUUAAAAAGGGUGAAUAUUUUUGCAUGUAAAUAAUUGUAUCUUCAUAAAACUUGACUCUUUAUAAAAUUCUAAAGUUUUAUCAGAGAGACAUUAUAAAUGAUAUUUUGUUACUAGAGCUAACUUGUCCUUUCAGAGAAUUUAGUCUUAGGAUUUUCUCCCAAAAGGAAAGGCAUUUGUGCAUACUCUACAGAGAGGAACAGAUGCAUUGGCUCAGUGUCUUACUGAGUUUGUAUGCUAUUUGGAAAUUGGAUUGCUUUGACAAAUUACUUGCUAGCCAGGAAAAGCAUUAAGGGAUUAUUUGUCCACCAUGAUUUCAAAUUUUUCCCUUAUGAUAAAAUCAUUUGAAACAAAAGGCGGCAGCCAAAGUAGUUUUACUCAGGGAGGUAGUAUUUCAUACAUAGACAUGUAAGAAACAAUAUAAACAAGAAAAGGAGAUGUACUCUAAUUUUUAAAUUUUUAAAGUUACUUUAAGUGUUAUGAAUAACAGCAGCAAACAAUUUCAAUCCUAAAAAGCACAUAUUUUAGAUUUCCUUAUAAACGCUUCUCAACUUAAAGACUUGAAAUUACAUAUAAAUGUGGACGUUUAAACUUCACUUUGCAAUUUGAAUCUUUACUUCUCAGGCCACUUUAAUACCUUCUUAAUGCUGUUUGAGGAUACUGUUGGAUUAUAUCAAUGUUUUUACUUGUUUAUGUGCUUUAAUGUUUUCCUACUGUGCUAGAGAACAUUUUGCUUUAAUAGCAUUCUAUGUAUUUCAAGAAUUUCUUUGGAAGUGAGUGAUGUGUCUUUCAAUAAAGCAAAGAGAAGCUUCAAAA